rnacentral:rRNA from 1 species
ACGGGUGAGUAACGCGUGGGAAUCUACCUUGUGGUACGGAACAACCAAGGGAAACUUUGGCUAAUACCGUAUGAGCCCUUCGGGGGAAAGAUUUAUCGCCAUAAGAUGAGCCCGCGUAGGAUUAGCCAGUUGGUGAGGUAAUGGCUCACCAAGGCGACGAUCCUUAGCUGGUCUGAGAGGAUGACCAGCCACACUGGGACUGAGACACGGCCCAGACUCCUACGGGAGGCAGCAGUGGGGAAUAUUGGACAAUGGGCGCAAGCCUGAUCCAGCCAUGCCGCGUGUGUGAUGAAGGCCUUAGGGUUGUAAAGCACUUUCGCCGAUGAAGAUAAUGACUGUAGUCGGAGAAGAAGCCCCGGCUAACUUCGUGCCAGCAGCCGCGGUAAUACGAAGGGGGCUAGCGUUGUUCGGAAUUACUGGGCGUAAAGCGUACGUAGGCGGAUUGUUAAGUGAGGGGUGAAAUCCCGAGGCUCAACCUCGGAACUGCCUUUCAUACUGGCAAUCUUGAGUCCGGGAGAGGUGAGUGGAACUCCUAGUGUAGAGGUGAAAUUCGUAGA